rnacentral:rRNA from 1 species
AUGGGGACGGUGCAGGUACAAGGUGUGGCGGCGUCGGGGAGGAUGCCGUCCAUGGAGGCGGAGCCAAAGACGCUCACCCUCGAGCAGCUCAAGUACGCAAGGGAGGCGGCGCUGUACGUGGUGAGCACGAGGACGACUGAGGAAGCCAUCAGGAUCUUCACGGAAGGGCUCAAGCCAGUGCGGGGCGUGCGGAAGAUGGGCUCCUCCAUGACUGACUCGUCGGACGACGACGUUGAGCUCGGCUCGUCGGAGGAUUCGACGCCGCGCGGUGGCGGCGGCACGGGUUGUCGCCCCCACGGACGCUCCAUCAAGAGAGACAUUGCCACUGCACCGUUCUAG